AUAUAGCCAUCUGAGAAGAGAGGCUGUUGAUGUUUUUCAUUUAAGGCAAAUUUUAUCCAGCAAUAUAGAAGCUGUGGCAGGCCUACAAUGCAGCAGGAUUGCUGUGGAGGGACAGGAAAGUUCACAUAGAGGGGUUGGGCAUGAAGCCAGAUUGCCUGGAGGUAAUUCCUAGAGCUGUGGUACACUAACGACUUCUGUGAACAAAUCCCUCCGAAUGGUGGUGGUUGGGUGGAAAAUUGCUGAGAAGAACCAGCCAGAGACUCCAACAGAAGCAGCCAGAGCAGGGAUCUUCAGACAUUCAGAGAACUUUCUACAGG